AAGAUAUCGAUAAAUUCGCUGAUUGUUUUGAUUUGCUUGCGGAUCUACGGUUUUGUAGCCUUUUUUUUAACUUCUCUCUUUUUCAAAGCAUACCCUUUCCAAGUUUUCUCAUCUCUUCUUGAUACUUCUCUGGAUCUAUAAGAAUAUUUCUGACUUUUUCAUAAUUUUUCUGUCGAUCGGAGAUAUAGGCUCUGUCGUUCUUCUUCUAAUUUUUCUUUUGGAAAUUUAAGCAAUUGUUUAUGAUUUUCGCUUUACACUUUUUUCGUUUUGUUAUACCUAUGAUUUUUUGAGGCCGGCACAGCUUGUUUAUGUGUUGGUAGUCUAUUUCUAUGAGGUAUUUUGCAGCUGGUUUUCUGUUGAUGGAAAAGGCUUUGAACCCUGGAAGGUUCCAUCUUUGUUCUUGUUUCAGAUCUACGGGCGUCGGAUUUUUUCCUGAUCUGUGCUGAUCGGGCUUGCGCGAUCGUCGUGAUCCUCUUCGACUUCUGUUCCUUCAAUCGGAUGUAAAAGAUGAGGUUGUUAAUCGAUGGAUCUCACCUGAUAUCUCUUAUUUUGAGAAAUUGGAAUGGGAGAUGUCAUGGGUUGGGUUUCUCUCUCUGAUGUAGAGCAAAGGGAAGCCAGGGAGAUCCAUGGAUGGGGGGAAGGUAAGGGGUGUUUGGGGGAGAAAAGAACUCUUGGAUCCUAUCUUGUUGUUACACAGACCUUUGCCAUGUUGGGUGCGCUCGCAUGGCAGGUCACAGAACGCUAAUAAAAUUUUUAUUUUUGUUGUGUUGCUGGGGGAGAUCGCACAGGGGUGGUCUUUUUCCCUGGGUUCUCCCCCUUCUGGCUUCUUCUCUUCUUUUUUUCCUCUCUGUUUUUUAAGCUUUUAUUUGCCCCCAACUACUUCGAUCGCUUAUACACCUAUAAGCAGUCGUCGACUUGUGAUAAAGAGAGCCUAAAGGGAUCUCCUCUCGUGGCCAUCAUCAACCCCCAAACAAUGAGGUACAACUGCACCAAUGCUUCCUAUCCAUUAAAUUUAAGUUCUUGGAGGAAAAAUGGUUUAUGGAAUUUAUUUCACUCAUUAAUUUAUUUCAGCCAAUUUUCUAGGUCGUUCGCAAGCAUCUUUAAAUCCAUGAAUAUGAAGGCACAAUUGCUGCAAUUCUGAAUAUCCGUUAUUUUUGUGUUCAUUUCAUUCAAGUAUUUUAUUCUUGGCGGUUUAUUCAGUACUCAACCUUGAAGUAUCGAACAAAUUAUGACGUUCUUGUAUCAUGCGAUUCUUCCUCCAAUUAAUUUAAUAUGAUGCGGACUAAUAUAGACCAUGCAAUUGUUUUAUUUUGUCAUGGUUCCAGUGAGAUGUUUGCUUCCAGUUUAUGUGCGAAAUUCGGCUCUAUUUGCUUGUUAAUUUGCAUAUACACGAGUUUUAUAGUGAUCUUUAUUGUGCUCUAAACGAGCCUGUGACUUUGGGGUAUCUUGUUAAUAUGUUCUUUUAUGAUAUCUAUGGGAUCACUUGCAUUCUGCAGUUGUCUCUCUUAUGUAACAUUGUCCUCUUAUCGGAGGCGAUUGUGUUUUGAGUCUGUUCCUAGGUGAGGGUUUCUCUUUGCUAUUGUUAUGUUGUGGUCGUUGGAUUUCUCUGCAUCAGUUCGAAGGCAAUUCAAGCUCGAAAGCAGGAAGACUAUGUGUGGAGUUGAAAGCACUGGACUGGGGAAGAUCUGCGGAAUAUCUUGGAUGAUCCAAUUUUUUAUCUUUGCAAUUGUGACAUGCAUUUAUCAAAAUGUUCUAUCCGAUGUUGCUACGAGUGGCUUGCAAUCGUCAUUAUUGAGGACAUUAUGGCUGGUCGGGCAAGUAAUCGCGAGGCAUCAUCCUUGUAGAAUGGUAAUCAACUCUUAAGUUUUAACUACCGAAUUUUAGAAGCUUUCUACGUGUAUUUAUUUCUGACUACAGGUAAUUUUCGCUGAGUUGUUUUUAUGGUCUUGGUUUGAUUGAAGCUUGUCGAUUUUUUUUCUUGUUUAUCUCUGCAUCGGAAGUACCAUAGCAGCGGCAUCAUAUCCAUUGGUGCUAAAUGUUCUAGUACUUGUUUUUUCUUUUUUGGGUGAGAAGUACUUGGUUUUUUUGGUGUGGUCUUUUACGGCUUAAUCUUAUAAUGUGUAUGAAUAGUUUUACUGCCUAGAUUUACCCCGAAUUCUAUUUAUAUUCGGGGUGGGUAUUUGAAGUGACCUACCUGUCCUUCGCAGUUGUCUGUGGUUGAAGCUGGCAGGAAGCCGAGCCGACUGUUGUAGGGCAAAUCUAAAGCAAACAAGGCUGCUCGUUUCGGAGACUCGUGGUAAUGGGGCCGUUGGUCGAGGCGAGGUGAGGUGCGCAACUGAGGUCGGGUUGGGUUAAAUUGUAAAAAUUAAUUUUGUAUAUAAAUUAAUUAAGUAAAAAAUAUGUAAGUAAAUUUAUGGAUGCAAGGUAAAUGUUAUAGCUGGGAAGAAAAAAAUAUUGCUUGCAGAAAGUGAAGUAUUUUUGGAAUAAAAAAAUAAAUAAAUUGAAAUUAGUAAUUAAAACUAUAGUUUAUUGUUUAUUUUAUGUGAUAACUUUUGUUAGUUCGGUGGGAUGUUUUUUAAAUUGUUGUAGUUUUGGGGUGGGGUUUAGCUUGGGCAAUUCUCAUCGUUCGCUCCCAUGCCAGAUCGGAUGUUUGGCAUAUAAGGAGAUGAAACGGAAAUUAGAUUUCGGCCUCUAGCCCUGGGUAGUGGGAUGGAGUAGAUUGCCGCCUGGUGUUUGGGGAAUAAAUUUGAACCGGCUACUAGAUUUAUCUUCUUUGCACGGCAGUAGAGCUUUAAAUGGUGAGUAGGGGCACGGCAAAUGUUGGGGUUUUUUUUUAUUUUUAAUUUAGUGGGGGUGUGGGUUGCAUGCUUGCGUCUUGGCUUGUGCUGGUAGCUGCGAAACACGUGGUAAAGUUGAGUUUGGUAGAACUCGAUGAGAAAUAUUUAAGGACGUUUUAUGUGCAAGACGAACGUUGAUGUAAGAUCUGGAUGGUGUGGUACUGGCGUUUUAUUUUUUCCGGCUUAUGCCUCCGUUUGUAAGGUGCCGGUGGCGGCUUUAUUUUUUUUUUUUGGUUAACUAUUUUUGAUGGAUGAUUUCGGGAUUAGGCUACUUUUGGCGAGGUCGGGCCGUUAAAGUCAAUUUUAUAUAAUAAAACUAUUUUCGUAGUACGGAGGGGGAAGUAACGUAAUAGAGUGAAAUAAUCUAUGAAUGUUUUUCAUCAAGUUUUGAAUAUCUACCAUAGGGGAAUUAAAUAGUUGUUUUAAAGGAAUUGCUGUUAAUAAAUGGUUUGAAUGGUUUUUAUUUUUUAGUUCGGCGACCUUAAUUUUUCAGAUGCUGGUAACAAUUUUGUCCUAGGGAGGCCUAUAAUGAGGCUGAUUGGGUAUUUGUUUUUUUUUUUCCUUUAAUUUUUGAGGACGUAGAUUUGGGGAUGCUAACAUGAAUAUUUGUUUUUUCUUGGCGUGUGUUGGGGGAGUGAGGUAAAAAAAAAAAAUCGAUUGGAUUAAGGUUGGUUUGGUUGGCAAAGCAUUUAAGAACGUGUAUGUAAGUUUUGAUAACGGAAGUGAAUUAAAUAUAUUUCAGGGGCUGGUACUGUAUUUGUACGUUUGUAAGCGUAGUACCUUAGCUGUGGUAUAUCUUCGUGUUUUGAGUGGUUAUUUUGCUACCUCUGGAUCUUUAAGCUCUUUAAAUGGUAAGAGCGCUCGAAGUUUUGAAGGUUGUCGAAUUUUCAAAAGCUCGAGAGGAUGGUGGUUCGAAUCCACCAAGAUCCUUUUAGCUGCUGGUGGUGGUUUGUCUCGCACCCUUUUUGUUGGCUUUGGCGAGGAAUUCAUGUUUUUUUUUUUUGUGCGGAGGCUAAUGAUUUGUCAUUACAAUAUAAUUGGUGGUUGCAUGCUUCUGAUAUCUAAAAAUGUGGUGAGCCUGUUAAAAAUAAUGACUUCGAAGUGUAAUGUCUGGGAAAAAUGGACUUUUGGUGUAAACUAUUAUCAGUUUAACUUAUGAAGAGCCAGAGACGAGAUUUUUUUGUAAAAACAAAUAAAGCUAGUUUCUUUCAUUUUAAAUUUUCUGCUUAUGUUUAAAAUGUAAUAAACAAAUUCAUACGAAGUAGUUAUAUGAUCUUCUUGUUAAUAACUAACAUGCUAAAUUGCUGCGUCUUCAAAUAUAAUAGAAUCAUUCAUGCAAAGUAGUUACAUAAUCUUUAUAGUCAAACAACAAAUUCACUAAAAUUUAUAUCUAAAGAAAAGUAAUGUUUGACCGUCUAAUGGUUUUUAGGUGCUAGUUGGAACAUAUGUUUAAUUGGCCACCAAAGAGGUAAGUGACCUGCCCGAGUAGAUGUGCUUGGCCGGGCCGGGUAGGCAAUUCAACUUUGAUAUUGAGUUUGAAAUUUAUUUGAUUUUAAUCUUAAAGUAGGCUCUGGGAUUUUACCAGUAACUAUAGGUGCUGUCACUACUAAAUAAAAUCUCAAUAGCAAUAUCACAUGUAAUAAUUUAUUUGUGAAAAUUUUAGAUAUGUUUGGACAUGAAGACCAUAAGAUUUUUUUGGCAAAAAGAAUCGAGAAUGGGCUGUUUCUAAGUGUCCCACUUUAGUGUCAGCCCAAGACCAAGAAAAGUGUAAUUCCUAGGUUAUUUCGUGUGAGGGGCUAGAAAUUCAGAUGGGGUUGACAUUAAAAUAUAUUAACAAAUUUCAAAGUACAAAAUGGUAUACGUACACGCAUAAUUAUGGAUAACUUCUACCUUUAUAAACUAUUUAUUCUUUCAUUGCAAUAUUAGUAUAUAAAAUAAUUACGUGUUAUCUUUAAACAAAAACUAGAAAGAAUAAUUAUAUGUUGGGUAGGGUUUAGAAAGUUUUUUAAAUUAUUUAAAAUAUUACAAUUUUCAUUAUUGGAAAAGAAAAUGAAAGGUUUUUUUUUAAUUUUCUAAGUGAAAUACUUAUUUUUUUGAUAAAAUUGAUUAUUAGAUAUCACAAGUUGGUUCUAUUAUACGUUACCAGUUUUAGAUUGCAUCUUGCCGGCUGGGAGGCAUCCUGAUGUGACGGUUUGGUGGUUUUAUUCUCCAUAUGUUUGUUUUAGAACUGAGUUUUUAUUAGGUCAGAUGCCUGUUUGGUUGUCCCUCUCCCCGAAUUUCUGGACCAGCGAGCCCUUUAGGUCUAGGUUUAACAAUAUUGUUGGUUUUGUCCUCAUUAGAAAUUGCAAAAACACAGUUUUUUCAUUAAUGUUUUGUAAUUGAUAUUAUGUAUAUAUUCUACUCUUACCCCUCUCACUUUUAAUCAUAGUUGUACAAAAUGUUUUUUAUUUUUAAAGCAGUUUUAAGUCGCAUACUUCUAUUUUUCAAUAUUUUUAAUUACAAUAGAUUAAAAAUAAAUUAUAAAUUAUUUAUUUUUAAAAUAAAUUUAAUAUAUAAUACAGAAAAUAUAAAAUUUAUUGGUAUUUUUAAUUAUUGUAAAUAGUAAAAUUUUAAAAGAUAUCUAAAAUUUCAUCAAGUUUUUUUUUUGGGGGGGAUGAUAUCAUAAUUUUCUAUCUAGGAAAGAGGGCACAGAUUCAAUUGCGAUUGAAACUAGUCCUUGAAGGAUGGAGAGUAAAGGUUAGCCCCUCUUAAUUUUUAAAAAAGAAAAAAAUAAAAUUAUGUUUGACUAAUUAUAUUUAAUUUUUUUUUGCAUGAAUAUCUUUUUAAAAAUUUAAAUUUGUGUAAAUUCCUUCUUAAAUUUUAUAUUUAUUUUUAUACGCUUAUAAAAUACUAUUUCUACACAAAUAUUCCUAAUUUGACAAUUUUUCUAACACCAUUAAUAAAAAUCAUAUUUAUUUUAAUUAAAAAUAAAAUAAAAUUCUAAAAUUAUUUUUUAUUUUUUUUUGCAACUGCCAUCUCUUUUUUUUUGCACAUAUACCUAUUAAUAAUAUUUUAGUCAUUUUAAUUUGAAACCAUUAAUUUUUUAAUGAUGUUAGAUGGCGCCAUGUACAAAAAUAAAGAUUAAAAAAAUAUAAAAAUAAAAUAAGUAUUUUACUAGAGUAUACAUGUAAAUAUUAAUUUUAGUAAAAAUAUUUAUGUAAAAUUCGAUAUUUAGGAAGAUAUUUAUGUAAAAAAUUAUAUUUUAAAAAAAAAGUUCAAGGGCUUUCACUGAAUCUUGGCAGCUCAAUCUGGUUCUCACCAGGUAAGUUACACUUCUGCGUGACUAUGAUGGACCGGGACAAAUCGCCGGUUCAUUGAUUACCUGGUUUGACAUAUCCGGUCCAGUUUUAUAAUCAAUAACCAUGCUUAUAAUCAUGCAAUGCACAUCUUUAUUUUUCGAAGGAAUGAACGACUGUGACUGCAUCAAAUGAUAAAUUUUGUAGUAUCUAUAGUUUAAAAUCAAAGCCAUUUAUACAUUCCUUCGAUCACAUCCAUCCACAUAAAGUACUCAAACAACUCCAAUCAUGUAGCAAGACCAUAAGUGUGUAGAUUGUGAUAAUGCACGUAACAUACUUAAGUAGGAUAAACUUAUGUCGACCAGUAAUUGCUCCUAUGGUGAAUAUUAGGCCAUGCAAAACUAGUGAGAUAAGCAAAGUUAUUGUAUCAGAACUAAAUCGGUGGUUUCUGGACUGGAAGAACGGUGAACCUGUAAUUGGAUUGGAUUGCAUCCAACUAGAUGGAGACCAAUUGGCCCAAUGGGCUUCAGCCCAGGCAGUUGGAACUGUAAUAUCCAGUUUCAGCCCAUGGCCGAAGAAGAGACCGAGACGGGAUCGCAACGCGAUCUCCUGGUCUUCUUCCUCCGGGUAACGGAGGCGAGACUGGACCGAGGAUGCCGCGGCCUCUUGAAUGGCCUCCGAUCCCGCUUAACCACCGCGAGCAUCACGGCGGUGAACGAGCCACGGCCAAUUCGAAGAUCGCCUAUUAAAAAAAAAAAGAAAAAGAAAGAACCCCGAAAGGCUCACCAGGCCGGGACCCCCUCCUAUCACGGUUUCUCUUUCCCCUUCUUCCUUCAGGGUUAGGUUUUCCUGAACCCACGUCGGUGUCGCCGGGGAUGCUACUCGCAGCUUCCCCGGAGCUAGGUAAGCCGCUGAUCAUGUUAUUUUUCCUGCUUUCCUCUUUCCUGUUUCUGAGAUGAAAUAGCGGAGGGACUCCACGGCUCUCGGGCGGGGGCUGCAGUCGAGCCAGAGUCCCAUCCCCUUCUUUCUCUUCGGUGGGGCAAAGGGCCUCGGUGAAGGGAAGAAGGGAGACGGAAAGAAAAGAAGAAAAAGAAGAAAAGAAGAAAGAAGGACCUCACAAAAUAGCUAGCCAGAAGGUAUUAUUUGGGUUCCUUGAUCCUGUAUAAGUAUCCAAGAUCUACCCAGUGAAUAACCAAUGUGGGACUAAACACACACCCGCACAGGUUCUCACAUACUCCCCCCGUUCAAGCCGUGACGUCUUCGUCAGACUAAGAGUUCAAAUUUAUUCAAAUCUAAUCACAAAACUACGAUCGGUCCGUGGUCAGCCCCAAUAGAUCUGUGCUGCAGUAUUUCCUAGUCCACAUAGGUUAUGUGCCGGGUCUGCUNNNNNNNNNNNNNNNNNNNNNNNNNNNNNNNNNNNNNNNNNNNNNNNNNNNNNNNNNNNNNNNNNNNNNNNNNNNNNNNNNNNNNNNNNNNNNNNNNNNNNNNNNNNNNNNNNNNNNNNNNNNNNNNNNNNNNNNNNNNNNNNNNNNNNNNNNNNNNNNNNNNNNNNNNNNNNNNNNNNNNNNNNNNNNNNNNNNNNNNNNNNNNNNNNNNNNNNNNNNNNNNNNNNNNNNNNNNNNNNNNNNNNNNNNNNNNNNNNNNNNNNNNNNNNNNNNNNNNNNNNNNNNNNNNNNNNNNNNNNNNNNNNNNNNNNNNNNNNNNNNNNNNNNNNNNNNNNNNNNNNNNNNNNNNNNNNNNNNNNNNNNNNNNNNNNNNNNNNNNNNNNNNNNNNNNNNNNNNNNNNNNNNNNNNNNNNNNNNNNNNNNNNNNNNNNNNNNNNNNNNNNNNNNNNNNNNNNNNNNNNNNNNNNNNNNNNNNNNNNNNNNNNNNNNNNNNNNNNNNNNNNNNNNNNNNNNNNNNNNNNNNNNNNNNNNNNNNNNNNNNNNNNNNNNNNNNNNNNNNNNNNNNNNNNNNNNNNNNNNNNNNNNNNNNNNNNNNNNNNNNNNNNNNNNNNNNNNNNNNNNNNNNNNNNNNNNNNNNNNNNNNNNNNNNNNNNNNNNNNNNNNNNNNNNNNNNNNNNNNNNNNNNNNNNNNNNNNNNNNNNNNNNNNNNNNNNNNNNNNNNNNNNNNNNNNNNNNNNNNNNNNNNNNNNNNNNNNNNNNNNNNNNNNNNNNNNNNNNNNNNNNNNNNNNNNNNNNNNNNNNNNNNNNNNNNNNNNNNNNNNNNNNNNNNNNNNNNNNNNNNNNNNNNNNNNNNNNNNNNNNNNNNNNNNNNNNNNNNNNNNNNNNNNNNNNNNNNNNNNNNNNNNNNNNAUUAUUCAAAAUUCUCAAUAAGCCCUAACUAGGCCUAAAGAUUUGCAACAUUUGUAUAGACUUUAGCCCAUCUUAUUUAUGUCAUCAUUGAACCAGUCGCACUAAUACUUAGUUUUAGCUUGCAUGCUUGCUUGUGGAAAAAUUAUUUUCUACACCACGUGCACUAUGGUGCAUCACGCCUAUCAUCUCGUUUCAUUUUUGUAGGUCUCAUUGAUUAAGCAUGGUGAUUGGCCCACACAAACGAGACGAGGUAAUUAGUAUAGUGCACUGCCCUGUGGUACGUGUGUUGGAUAUAAUUUUUCUUAUUUAUAUCAUCCUCAAAGGAGAUGGUCCUCACCUAGCAAAAUUUUUCCACAAGCUAAACUGAGCCUAUAUAUCCAUCAAAUGCACGUCUGGCCGAUGCAAUACCAACAAUCCUCCAAUACUUCCUUUUAAAUCCAUAUAAAACGAAAUAAAAUUCUCAAUUGGUUUGUGUGUUUUUUUUUUUUUGGUCUCGUCUCAUCAUAUUUUCGGCGAGAUAAGAGUGCAGCGACGCGUUCCAAGGUAACGUGGAGGACGUUGCAUGGAUGCCGAACCCAACUAAAUGCAACGCGUUACACCCAGCUUUCAUUACGAAUGCCGCGUGUAUCAGCUUAAUGGCUGCACACGUGGAGGUAGAUGGUUCUUCCUACUUGCUACUGAGAGAGAGGUUUAUAAGGGGAAAAGGGUCUCAAGGGGGGGAAAGAAAUCCAAAAGAGAGAGAGGGAGUAGAAUGCUUCUAGGAGUCGGUAGGGUGAUUGAUGGAGCUCUCCGUCUGAAGUCGCCGGCAGUUGAGAAUAUCAAGGCCAUUCGCCGGAGCCCGACGACCACCUUCUGCACGGGGGGCCGAGCAGCAUCGUCUCGAUCCGGCGGUGGGAGCAACAUGGAUAGCCAGGGGCAGCAGCAGCAGCAAAAGCCCGUAAAGACCACCGGGUAACUAAUAAUAUAUAGCUGUGAGACUACCAUAAUCUUGGAUCAUCUCUCUAUCUCUCUCUCUAGCAUCAUCUUGAUACUUAUUCUUGUAACAGUAGCUCUAAGUUUCCAAUAAAGGCGUUUGAGUUAAUCAGUUGAUCAAAAUGUAGGGACAAAACAAAGAAAUCUCGACCAGAAGUGAUCAUGUUGCAUCUAGACUUCCAAAUGAUGCUAGGCAGCUCAAAGUUAUUUUUCAUCAACUUACAAUGGUGGACGUAAGGGGAAAAUAUGAUAGGAGGAAAGUUUUGGUUAGAAAAUUCUGUGAGCAUUCAUGUGAAUAAGUAAAUGGACUUAUUAUGUAAGUGAGAGCAGAACUUAUAAGACUUAAUUAUGUAAACUAAUGGAUGCACCUUCGUGUCACUUUUGUCCUUUCUCCUCUAGAUAGAGUAGCACCAAUGGAAACGAAAACUGACUAUCCGAUGAAGAAGGAGAAUAGUUAUAAAGAUGAUGAUCAAAUGAAGAUGGAGUCAGACUUGGGAGAUUGCAUGGUAACAUUAGUAAUAACUAGAUUUGAAAAGAUCGAGUUUCUCUAGUCUCCCUGGCAAGUAUCUAUAAUUUCCCAUGAUAGGGGCCUCUAACAUUCUCCAACCAAAACGUGAGCCUUUUUUAACUCUACUCUCUCUCCCUCUCCCUCCCAAAAAAAAGGAAAAAAAAAUGUAGCCUGGAUCCUUCAUAGCUUUUCUGGACACCUAGCUGGCUAGCUUUUAAAAUUUAGCCAUUGAAUAGUGAUGAGGUCAAGGGAGAUCGGCCUCCGGCCCACGCGUCCAGUGCUAUGGGAGGAUUUGGUGCCCUCCGACCUCAUCCCCUCCAGUCUCAGACAGUGGAGGCGACUGCUUCUCCUCAAAGGUAUUGUCCGCUUUGAAGGGAGUUUCAUAGUCUCUUCCCAAUACACGGUUUUGUCCCACAAAAGGCACCUCUGAAGAGAAAGAGGUAGCCCCCCUCCAUUUAAGGACCAGGCCUAUCUGCUAUCUAGUUGAUGUGGGACUAAGUUCGGACCCUUUAUUCCCACAAUAUAGCCCCCCAAAUGGAAAGGUAUGUGACGGGGUCAAGGGCUCUCAACAAAAGCACCAUUGAUGAGGUCAAGGAAGAUCAGCCUCCGGCCCGCGCGUCCAGUGUUACGGAAGGAUCUGCCGCCAUCCAACAGACCUCUCCGCUAUCUAGUCGAUGUGAGACUAAGUUCGGACCCUUUAAUACCACAACAAAUAGAUUUGUAUAAGAGUGAUUAUGAUCGAGUUAUACGGAACCUUUAGUCAAAUGUUUCUUUGGUUAAACUUACUGAACUGGCGACUUUGAUUAGCAAACUAAAAACAUCAAGUAAUAAUCGGGAUAAUUUUUUUAUUAAUUAUUUCAAAAAUACAUUAGAAACUUCCACCAAAAAAAAAAACCCAAUACAUUGGAAACUUGUUUGUUCUUGCAGGGAUGCGAUGUCCCACUCUUUUGGGGAGGGUUACUCCACGCGGUCAGACGAGGAAGGAUUCGGAGGAGUUUACGGAGGAAAUCAGUCAAUCUCAAAACCUGGAGAACAUGAGAACCAUCCCGGUAAGAUAUCCGAAAACGAAUGGGAUUUGGUAUUUAUUCGUUUCCUCUGUUACUUGGCAUAGUGCUGAUGGCAUGAAGUGUGGGUUGUGGGAGCUUUGAAUUAGCCAUGGAUUAAAACCAACAACAAAAAACUCUCAUUCUGUUCUGCCACAUGGAUUAUCUUACAGUAUCUUAUUUGACGUUGUAAUCAGACAAGUAGACAUGAUAAGAUGUGCUUUUUCCUGUUAGCUGAUUCCAUUACUAACUUAUUGCUUUCCUUCUCUUAUUUUUUCCUUUUCUAAUUUUCGUGCCAAAAAGACUAUGACAAGUCGCAGGGCAGCGAAGUCAAAGAGAAGGAGAAAGGUCGGAACCAAGCACAGCCGUCAGUCAAGUGAAGAUUUACUGCUGAGGUUGUUUUGGUUCACUUUUCUUCAAUUCCAUUGGUAGUAAUUAGCUCCUAGAGGAACUUUGAUGUCUUCACACCUCGUUUGUUUCAAAUAAGAUGUUUGCCGUUUGUCUUAUGUUCUAUCAAGAAAUCAUAUUUGGUUCGACCGAAUUCUUAUUAAGGAAUUUUUGACGUUGCUAAUGUUUGCUCGCCGGGGUGUAUCAGUGCUUUUGUGAUCCAAGCCGUAACAUGUGAGUUUUUGAGUAGUUAAAGUCAGGUACUUGUAUCAUUCCUCUUCUUAUUGAGAUACCACUGUGGUGGUCGCUUAAAAAUUGCCACCAUCUGUCUCUCCCCUUGUUGACAUUGUUUAAGCUCACUGAUCUGAUAUCGCAGGGGUGCAAGAAGGUGACUAAAUAAGCUGUGACCUGGUCAAAUAAUAACAACUCCCUGCAACAGGGGAUUUGACCUAAUUAGAGUCAUCAGACUCUAUGCCCAUUUAAGGUAGGAUGAAUCAAUAGUGUAGAUAUAGGCCCAUUUUAAGUUCCUAGCUUUUUAGACCCCAAGAGAAGGUCAUUUUAAACUUGACAAAGCACUACAUGAAAGACUUAGUCAAAAUAUGGCCAUUAAAUGAUCAAAACCUUGUAUAAAGUCAAAAGUGUUUAAAAUUCUGAAAAUCAUUUUUAUUACUUCAUAAAAGUCUUGGCUAAUCCUUUCAUGCAUCAUUUCUUACUUCAUUUUUUAUUUUUUUGAUAUAAUAUUUGUGAAGCAUGCUCAUGGAACUUCCUCAUUCCCCAAUUUGUAUUCAAAAUAUAGAGACUAUUUUUUUUAAGGGAAGUCCGUCUGGCCUAAAUUAGGUGGGCGUGGAAUAACAAGAACCAACUCAAUAUUCAAAUAUAGAGAGUUUUUUUUUUUUUAACGGAAGAAAGUCUGGACCAUAUUAGGUCGCUGAUAUGAACAACAUCCAAUAACCAACUCCGAUCAGUCGGCAUCCUUAACCAAAGACAGAUUAUUUCAACUAAUCUGGCACUUGGAAGUCAUAUAUUGUUGGGGCAAGCUGCAUCAGGAAUUAUGAUAUGCACUUGUAUCAGAGCAACCGCCGUCCUUACUUCAACCACCACAGAGCUCUCUGGGUGCAAAAUUAAAAUUUAACCCCAAACAGUCCAUAUACGUUAUACGUAUCUCAAGCUUUGAGCAAAAGUGGCUUGCCUUGUGCUUUGGCAUAUUGAGGCUGUGAUGCACUUGCCAGAUGAGUUAAAAAUUGCAGACGCUCAUGAAUGACUUUAUGAUCCCAAUUAACCCGUAACGUGUAGGUCGGUGAAACUGGAUAGGAGAGGCAAAGUUUGGAAAAGAGUUGUAGGAGACUGAACCAUUUAGAGUGCUAUGCUGGUGGUAAGAAAAAAAGAGACACCAAAUUGCUCUUGCCUGGACUCCAUGCGAACUCGAUCGGUUGGUGAAUGGCUAGCUAGGCACCUCCAAGCUUGAACAUUAGCAAACAGAAACAGUCCACACAAUCUGCUUACGAGGACAAAAAUGCAGAAAAUGACAUGAUAUAAUCAUAACCAAUAGCUCAAAUGAAAUUAGCGAUAAUCCGUCAUGAAUGCAUCAAUAAAGGAAGUUUACAAUGGAAUCUCACUCAAGUCAUGCCUAGCGUUGAUGUCCCUAUAAACAAUAAUCUCUAAGAAUGCUGACUGAUGCAUAUGCUAUACAGGAACUGGAAUUCAGGUAGUUAGAGCUUUAGAACUUCUGGAGUUGUGGCCGCUUGGAGAGCAAAUGAUCUGUGUCGCAGAUGCUAUUCUGUUGACUGCGCAUGCAAAGAAUGAACUGUUGGAUGAUCACUGAUCGCAAGCAGGAUUAACAGUAUAGUGGCCAGUGAAGCAGAACAUGAUGCCUGGCUCAGCAAAUUAUUGGAUAGAUCUUGCAUCAGACUGUAAUUAAGAACCAGGAAUGAAAUUCUUGAUUGCAAAAUGACAAAAUCAUGCUAGAUACCGGAAAUCAAAACAAAUAUUAAAACUGCACUUUUACUACAACAAAAAGAAAGACAAAUAAAUGUGUAAGUUUUAAAUAAAUAAAAAAGAUUGGAGGGAUAAUGGUAACUGCAUUUUUCAGAAAAAGUCCAACUUUUAUUUUCAUGCUUGCAAAAGCCGGCUUUUUUUUUCCAUCCAGAAACAUUCCAUUUCAGACUUUAAUGGACCAUGAUGCCUCUGCUUUUUAGAUUUCUCUAGAUCAAUCGAUGCACAUGUAUUGGUAGUUAAUGCACACACAAUAUAUGUUGAUGUAUAUGUAAAAAUAUUCUAAGUGUAGUCUUAGGGGCAAGGUGUAAUGGUCUACAAAAGUUUUAGAAGGACCAAGUUAUGCUAGUGGAUAUUUACUGCAAAAUUCCAUAAUCACUAGUAAAACAAAUUAUUUAAAUAAGAAAAUAAGUCUCCAAUGCAUCGCAGAAUUAUCAAUGGAACUGUGUCUGCAGUUGCUUCAGAAAUGUGAAUUUAUGGAAGAUAUAUUUAAAAAAUAUAGCCACAAAUAUAUCUUCUCAAACUAGUUUAUCUACAUCUUGCGACAAUUCGGUGUAUAUUCUCGUGGACAUCUUAGUGAAAAGGAUGUCAGCCAAAAUGUCAGUCCAGAAAUAUAUAGGUCAUUAAAGAAAUAGUAUCCUUGAAAGUUCUGAAUUUGAGCAAUAGUUUUUGUGCUCCAGUUUAAAUGGAGCAGGCAAUUGCAGUUUGAGAUGCAUUUUUCCAACAAGCAAGGUUACUAGGGGACAUGCAAAACCAGUAGUAAAGCAAUCAUUGCUAGGCUUUCCAUAAAAGAAACAACCCUUGUUUCAUAGUCCUACGAAACCAUAAAAUCUCAAGGCAAUAAAUAAAACUAAGAAUGUAAAGGUAAUAUCACUCAACAAAGGAGCUGCAAGAGGAUUUUCAGAGUUUGAUAGCUGAGACAAAUAGUAUUUUGUUGUCCGUUAAUAGAAUAAGUUCAGACAUUUAAUGUGAAAACCUAUGCGAGUGUGUAUUUAGUCUCAUAUCGGCUAUGCAAUUCGUAUAUCCUAGGUACUUAUACAGGACCAAGGAACCUAAAUUAUACCUUCUAGCUAGCCUUUUUUUGGUGAGGUCUUAGAUUGUUACAAAUAGUAUCAAAGUAGACUUGACCCAUGGUCCAUAUGGAUUUGGAAACACUGCAACACAGGUCUAGAUUGGAUUUAUGGUACUUGAAAUUGGACUUGAAUGGAUUGUAUUUGUAAUAACCCAGGACCUCAUCUAAAAAUGCUAACUGAAACAAAGGGUCAGUCGGAGAUGGUAUUGUGAUGGGACGAGAACAAAAGGUAAGGCAAUAUGCCAUGACAGAUGCUUCUUUCAAGCAACUUUCUUGCAUUUUCCAUUUGUUCACUCUAUGUGCAAGUAUAUAGCUACCAACAUCUACUAGAGUCAACUGCAAACUUAAAUAAGAAAAGACCAUUUGGAUGAGUGCAUACUAUGAGUCUCUUCUUUUGUACCAUUUAUGAAUUUCAGGAAAAUCUUACAACCUAACAUGUAUAUGAUUAUAGAACUGAAUCCUGAUAACAGUCAAAAGUUCGGCACCUGGAAAAUUCCUAAAUAUAUAUACCUAUCGCAUAAAAGUAAAGGAGAAUAGUAAGCUGCUUACAGAGGUCUCAUUGUUUAGACUUUUGCCUGCAAAGCAGGAAUAUUCAACUAUGAAGAAGGACACUCUACUAAAAAGAGCUUUAUAACUAUCUAGCCAUGUAACGGAAUUUUAGAUCUUUAAUAAUUUUUCCUGUGACAAAGGAAAGGAAUUUUAGAAAGGCUGAUAUAAUUGAAUAGAAUAUGGAUCAUUACACUUAAGUACUUAUGCCAGUAGAAGAUUAGCAUAUUCAAAGCCAGUCAAAAGUUACAGUUGUAGAAUUGAAACAUAUUAACUACCGCACAAUCGGAUUAUAUCAAAAUCAAGUUGGUGGUGGGUUGUGAUCCCUCAAAUGACAAAUGCAACACAUAUUUCUCAUAUAUUGUUAUCCUGAAAGUCAUAGCAUAUCAAAAGCAAUGGAAUAUGCAAGAACAAGAGAUCUAACAAAUUAAAACAUACUACAUUAUAAGAAUUCUGAGACGGUCCAACAAAAUGGAAAAGAAACUAGAUCUUUCAUGACAAACAACAAUUAACACGGUCCAAAAGUUAGGGUUGUUCUUACAUACCUACCUGGCUCAUCUCCACAUUGACCUUUCUGAAUCAGCAGCUAUCACCUUCUCAGACAAAAGUGGGAUACGUCCAGUGGGUGCAUUAGAUACAUCCAGCAUUCUUUCUCGUGUCAACCGGUGUUCCUGCAAAGUAUAGUUUGAUACAAAUCAUGUAAGCUAUAAAACUUAAGAAAAAAGUUUUAUCGUGCCAGAAUGUUAGUAUAUAUUUGUCAUGUUUAUGCAUUGCAUCAUAUUCCGGAAUGUCAAUGUUGACAGCAUUACAUAUCCACUAUAUGAACUCAAUACUAUCCAAAUCAAGUCAAAUUGUCAUGAAAGCAAUUGAUAAGUGAGAUUUAUUUGAUGUAUAAUCGUGCAUCUUGGGCACCUCAUGUGGGUAGGCCUAGGAGGCACAACUUUAGUAAACAUCUUCCAGUAUUAGGGAAAAAAUUAUACUGUAUUGUAGAAUUCCAGACAAGAUUUUGAUGCCUGGAAAUUGUGAAGUUGUGUAUGUGGGACUCCAAUGAAACAAUAGAAUAACAAUUGUCCUAUCAAAGUAAAAUAUACAUAUAGCACAUAACUUUAAUUGCUUGUUUAUUAAUUUCAAUAAAAUAUUCAAGUGCUUAAAUUUUAGAUCCAUUGCAGCAAACAUCCUCGGUGGAUUUGCCAGCAUUACACGUUGCUUCUCUAAAGUUUCAGAAAAAACCGAUUAAUUUCAGCCUCUAUUUUCAUAGCAAAUCCUUGUCCCCUUGUUCCUUCUGCCAUGAUUCACUUCACUGGCUCUGAUAUUAGAAGAUAUGAAUUAAAAUAGCUGAGAACAGACUAAGAUGAUUUAGAACAUUAGUUCUUCUUUGGAGGGAUGAGUGACAUCCCAGAACGGAAGAUAUUACAGAAAUAACUACCUGGCUCAUCUAUUAAACUUGUAAAUAUAAUAUACGGCUUCAGAAAAUAACUAUCAUCUAACAACUACCCAUCAUCAGUAUUCUAAUUUCUAACAUUAUAAAAUGAUACAUCUAAGCUGAAAUCCAGGUCUAAAGAUUUUAUAUAACUUGGCUUGUCAACAAAUCUUUGACCACAGUGUAUAACUAGCUCUAGAGAGAUCUCUUGCAAGAUAAGUCUUUGAAUAAAAGUAUUGAGAGAUUUUGUAAUAUAUGUCUAGUCAAAUUGUAGACAAUAAGAAUUAAUGAAGUGGUAUGGUAUUUCCCAUGUAUGUGAUGGUAUAUGUCAUAUAUGACAAAUCUACUCCUAACAAAUAGAAAAAAACAAUAGUUCACCCUUAAAUUUCAAUUGAUUGCACUGGGUUUUAAGGUUCCUUGUGUAAAAUCCUUCAGUCAUAUUUUGUGUUAGAAUCCAUUAACUGAUUGAUUGUGCCAAACUUAGUCGGCCUUACUAAACUUCAUCUUGAUUGAUUUGUGAUUGAUCGUGCCAAACUUGGUCAUCCUUACCAAACUUCGUCAUCCUCCUAGCCUAUACAAAGGCUGCUCCUGUACAUUGUAACAGAUAGGCAGAAAUAAAAUUCUCCUCUUUUUCAUUUUUUUAACAUGGUAUCAGAGCCACUGAUCACGUAACCUACUGCUGUCGUCCUCUCUUCCGCCUUGCUGUCGUCCUCUCUUCCACCUUGCUGUCGUCCUCUCUUCCGUGGUUGCUGCCGUCGCUCGCAGAUCUUUUGUUUCUCUUGCCUCGUUUGGGGGGUAGCCGAGGCUCCGGCCUCGGCGGCUUUCAAAGCUCCCUUCUUUUCAUCGAGAUCCUGAUAAAAUCAUAGCCUUUUUUCUUUCUUUUUUUUCUCUUUAAUUAUUUUUUGUUAUUAUCCUACUAUUUGUUGAGAAAAAAAAAUCCGUGGGAGGCUUAUGCUUCGUGGAGGGCUCACGGGUUUGGGUUGUGUAUCCUCUCUUCCAAGGCACCAUGCUUUCGGUGCUCCUAUUUCUCCAUGGAGGCGGCGGCGACGCGUGCCAAACCGUACCGUCAAAAGCUUGGCGUGUAAACUUGACGAGUGCGGUCUCGAUCCGAACUCCAGCAGCAACGCGUCAAACCAUAUCGUCACAAGCUUGGCGGGUAAACUUAGCUGGCGUGGUCUCGCUCCAAACCCCAGCAGCAGCGUGUCAAACCGUACCGUUAGAAGCUUGGCGGGUAAACUUAGCAGGUACAGUCUCGCUCCAAACUCCAGCAGCAGCGCGUCAAACCGUACCGUCAGAAGCUUGGUAGGUAAACUUGGCAGGCGCGGUCUUGCUCCCAACCCCAACAAUAGCGUGUCAAACCGUAUCGUCAGAAGCUUGGCGGGUAAACUUGGCAGGCGCGGUUUCGCUCCAAACCCAAACAGCAGCACGUCAAACCGUAUCUUCAGAAACUUGGUGGAUAAACUUGACAGACGCGGUCUCGCUCCAAACCCCAGUAGCAACGCGUCAAACCAUACCGUUAGAAGCUUGACGAAGAUAAACUUGGUAGGCGCGGUCUCGUUCUAAACCCCAGCAGCUCCUCUUCCUACUCUUGAUCUAGUACGUCAAUUUUUCGGUACAUUCGUGAUCCAAUUUCUACAACUGAUCAGCUUGCGGAUGUCUUCACCACAGCUCAUCCUCCUGGCAUCUUUCGAUCUCUUGUUUCCAAACUCAAGUUGGUGUCUACUUUACCACCUUGAGUUUGAGGGAGGAUGUUAGAAUCCCUUGAUUGAUUGUGCCAAACUUAGUCAGCUAUACUAAACUUCACCUUGAUUGAUUUGUGAUUGAAUGUGUCAAACUUAAUCGGCCUUACCAACAUUUCAUUUUAUUCGGAGCAAGAAAUGGUAUAUUAACUAAAUUUAAACAAAAUGGGAGCCAAUCAAAACCUUCAUGUUUCAUUAAAUGAUGGUAAGCAAACAAAAGCCUGAGGGAAGGAGGCAAAGAAGGAUAAGAAGAGAAAUGUGCCUAAGAAGAAAAAUUAAAAUGAUAAUCUUUGAAGUUCAUUCUCUAAUAAAAAAGAUAGCCUCGUUCGAUAAGAAAAAAAUCACUCUACUCGUUCCAAAAGAAAAAUACACUCGACUCUUAAUCUUCCUCAAAUUACCAUCAAAAUCUAACUUCUCUAUCUGAAACCUGCUUAAUUUCUCUGCAGAGUUCAUUUAAAAAGCAUGUGGCAUGAUAGUGUACUAUUUCUUACUAACUUGGUAAACAGCUUUCAAUGAUCAUGUUGAGAUAUGGAAAUUUGCAUUCCUGCUAGUUAGGCUAAAAUCACCACCGUAGAGGCAUGUGAUAUCACGAUGAUGAAGCAAGCAACCAUAUCGAUCUAAACUAUGUCCAUAUUCUUGCCGCAGAUCAAAUGCCUUCUUCAAUCUCACACUACCAUUAACUAUACCAUCUUCUUCAACUUUACCUCCUUUAUAUCACCUUUAUAUUUGUAUCUUAGCUUUGCUUCUUUGUUGAUGACAUGAGUCUAGUUCAUAUUCUACAUCAGCAACACUAGCAUUGCAGAAAAUUACAGUUUCAACCUCUCCUUAAUAAUUUGUAUCAGAUCCUCUACAAGGAAAGGACCAUGCUCCAUCAAAUAAACAAUUGAACAGUUUCAUCCUGUUGACAUACUUUACAGGGUUCUGGUUAUUAAUAGCUGUUUAAGUGUUUUAACAGCUCAUGAAUUAAAGAAAAAAACCCAUAAGACUUCCCUGGAACUUGUGCACUUAAGAGGUGUGCAGUUCUAGUUAAAUGAACCAAGGAAACGAUUUAGAGAUAAAACAUACCGUGCGAAAAGGAAACUCAUCUCCUUCAAGCAUGUGUACAAUCUGCCCCAUCUUUGGUCGCUUUUGAGCAUCUAAAUCUACACAUCGAAGGCAAACCAGCAAUACCCUCUUCAAGGCUCUUGGCGAAGGCUGAACUUCCAUCAAUGGAUCUACAACCUCCUCUCCACGUCUACUUCCUACCAUUCCUUUAAACCAUUCGACCAAGUUUACCUGCAAACAGAUCCAAUCACUUUCAUGAGGCUAGGAAUAUCAGAAUCACAAUUGAAGAGAUUUAUGUAAACUUACCUCUCCGGGUGGUCUGCUAUAGUCUACGGGACAUCUUCCUGAAAUUAAUUCCAUCAGUAGAACCCCAAAACUGUACACAUCGCUACUUUCGUUGAGCAUGCCUGUGCAUGCAUAUUCAGGAGCCACAUAACUGUGCAGGCAUUCGGGACAAAGAAGUGUGUUUAGUUCCUCCGCUCAUCAUUGACAAAUUUUCAUCAUACAAAUAUCAUAGAUAAAUUAUACUAUAGAACAGAACAAGGCUACCAGUAUUGAUUGAUAGACGUGCAAAUGUGAAGAAGAUAAAACAUACCCAAAUGUUCCCAUUACACGUGUUGUUACAAAGCUAGAACCAGAGCCCAAGAGUUUAGCUAAUCCAAAAUCUGAUACUUUAGGGUUCCAAUGCUUAUCCAGAAGAAUGUUGCUGGACUUUAUAUCCCGAUGCACAACUUUGGGCUCUAAUCCUUCAUGCAAAUAUGCUAUUCUGAAACCAGAGCACCAUUUCACGAAGAUUAGGCAGUGCUAAAAGCUUGGCAAAAACUCUCGGGAAGAACAUUACAACAGAGUAAAGAUGGACAAUAGAAAUGCACAUUUUUUUACCACUAUGAACCAGAAAGUAAUACAUUGACCAGUUCUUGAUCAUGCUAAGCAAUUACAAUCACUUCAAGCAUUGAGCAUCAAUUUAGCAUUACUGGCAUUUCUUGAAGGUUGGCCUUUUAAAAUUGUAAUCAAAAUGUAUGACAAUGAUAUAAAUAUAACAAGUAUGAGAAAAAAAAAUGUUUUGGUAAACUUACUGAAACUCUCACUUCUGUUACAGAGUAAUCAUGAAGUGUGUUAGACAUAAUAAUAACAUGGAGAUUAGUGAAGAAAACAAACCCUUUCGCUGUUCCAAUGGCUAUUUUCAUUCUGAUAUCCCAUGUCAGCGGACUGACAGGGCCAACAUCUCCAUGCAGCCACCGAUCCAGAUUCCCAUUAUCAAUGUAUUCAUAUACAAGCAUCCUGAAUUGGAAACAGCAAAUAUUUAGACAAUGAUUAUUUGACAUAUUGACUGCAUUUCCAGCUAAAAUAAAUUCACGCGAGAAAUUCAGGCUACCUUUUAGCACCUUCUGCACAGUACCCAACAAGUCCCACAAGGUGCUUAUGCCGUACUUUUCCGAUGGCUUCUACCUCCACCUUGAACUCCUUCUCUGCCUGACCCCUAGAGAAGCCGCACAAAAAUACGUAUCCACAAAAGUUUACAUAAAGGAAACUAAAGAGACACUCAUAUCUUCUUUGUUGCACCUUAUUUCCUUUCAGUAGGGAAAAAAAGAGGAGGCCAUAUGGUUUGCAGAAACAGGAAAAUCGCCUCUGAUAGUACAACCUGUUUCUUUGUUAUCCAUUUCCUUGCUUUAGGAAUAACAUAAUUCAUCCUUUCCUCCACUUUCAACUAAGAUGGAACACUUGCUUAAAGCCCAGUUGUAGGUUUAACAAAUUGCAACUUAAUGGUUUGCAACAUCACAGGAUAAUCUACCAGUGCCUUCUUGAACUUACAACCCAACAAGGAUCAAAAGUGCUACUGAUGUUCUUAUUUUGCAAUUAAACACUGUAAAAAAAAAUUCAGGAAAAAAGUUUAUCUCCACCCAGUAAAAUUAUUUUUUUUCAGAAAAAAGGUUAUAUCCAGGAGUGCUCCUGUGAUUUUUAUGAUCUCCAACAUAUAAAAAUCUACGUCUAAAAGACAAAAACCUGAAUCAGAUGCAGACCGGAACUUUAGAAAUUUCAGCCAUUUUUGACUUAAUUCGUGUUAUUUUAGUUCUUUAUCAGCAUUAUUUCGAUAACUACGACUAUAGCUUAUAGAGGAAUCAAAGAAGCAGAGCACCUCCAUUUUGUAAGUAGACAAUGCCGGCAGAGCCAUUUUUUCCCGUUUUAGUAUAGAAUAGAGCCGUACUCACUUGUUAUUGAGAAGAUUUUUGACGGCGACGACGGAGAGGUCAGGCAAGACUCCUUUGUAGACGACGCCGUAACCCCCCUCGCCGAUCACAUUCCCGGCGCUGAACGCCCCUGUCGCCGCCUCCAGCUCCGCCAGCGAGUACCACCGCCCCCACCCGAUGUUCCCCAUCCUCUCCGCCGCCUCCGACGACGACGCCCCCGACGACGACCCUCGCAACCUCUCCCCUUUAUUAACCCCCACCAACCCCUUCUUCUCCUCCUCCACCUCCACCUCCCCCACGCCGCCCCCCGCCGCCUGAUCGACAGAGAUCUCCUUGGUCGACGAGGGGAUGAUGCCAGACGUAUGCUUCACUCGCGACGCCGCCGCCCGCCGACGGAAGAAGAGAAAGGCGAGAAUGGCGCCAGCCAGCAGCAGAGCGGCUGCGAUCGCGACGAGGAUGUAGACAGGGAGGCCAAGCACGGCCGUCUUCUCCGCCAGGAAGCCGCCCGAGGUGAGGGUUCCAGCGCCCAUUUCCGGCGGAGCCACAGAGAGAGAGAGAGAGAGAGAGAGAGAGAGAGAGUGUCUCUUGUUAGGANNNNNNNNNNNNNNNNNNNNGAGAGAGAGAGAGGUGUCUCUCUUUUGGAAGGUAGCAGGUGAAAGAGAGAAAGAGAGCUGCAACGAAGGCCUUCUGGCUUCAGUGCCGGGAAAGCGACGGUGGCACUACUGUUUGGAAAUCUUUGGGAGCAAGCGUGAUAAAAAAGUUUAUUUUAUUGUUAUUAUUUUUUCCUUUUCUAAAAAAAAUAAAGAAAGUAGACGAGUAGGAAAAUCGUGCUCCCUGGCCAACUGGGAUUUCACACAUCUCUAAAACGAAAAGUGAGACCUUUUACUCCUUUUACUGGCCGUCGAGUUUGGAAAUUACCAACGGACAACCGUCGGUAAAUUCAAGCGGAGUUAGGAAAAUCGUGACAAGUGUAAACGAACUGCAGCUAUAUCUCUUCAUGCACUUCUCAAAUUGAAACUGUUCUCGUAGGUUCUGAUAUGAAAGAGUUGAGAUAGGUUGAUGCUACCUAGAACUUUUCUAUUGAUGGAUGUUCUAAUAUCUUAGGUAAUCAUAGUGACUAUUAGUAUACAUGGUUGCCUCUAUGGUUAUUACAUGUUCUUAGACUAUGAAAGAAUCAUGCAAUCAAAAAAAAGUUUAGUCAAUAAUUAAAAUAUCAGUACUAUGUUGUAGCAAUAUAUUUUUGGAGCUGGCAUGGCAAAACAAAAAUAAAAUACCAUAUGCCAGUAUGAUAUCGAUACGGGAGACUAAUCAACAUGGAUAAUUUACCACCUAUUAUGUGAUAUGAUUAGUACAAAUCAGCAAAUAUUCAUACUUAAAUUUUUGGUAGUGGUGCUAGGAAUAAAUCUUCCUAAUUGGAAUGUAGGAGCAUUCAAGUUUUUUGCCUGUAGUACAUGAAAACUCAAUUGCUUCUGGCUAGAACAAUCGAACAAGCAACUUUGUGAGCAACCGUGUUGAACUUAAAAUUCACCUCUAAUUUUUAUUAAUAAAAUUAAGUUUAUUCAAAAUUUAUUGAGGCCAUUGAUGUCGUGCUAGGCUUAGCUUUUUCAAGCACCACUCAUUUCACAGCUACUGUAAUGGUAAUAUAAGUGAAAAAACAAUGUGGUUACUCACUUACUCUCUAUGUUUCAAUCUGAGCAUUUGAGCAAAUUUAUUCCAAAGCGCUUUAUCGGGUACCAGGGGGUACCUUUGUAAAUUUGAAUUACUGGAGCGGAUGGAAUCCACCUUUUUGUUUCGGUUCGAGUCUCCAAACAAGGCGAGGAGAAGGAGCAGCAAGAACUUUUAAAAACCGUAUUUAUGGUUUAUUUCAGAAAAUACGUGAACCUCUAGACUCCGGACGACUACCGUAUAGUACCGUUAGGAAAGAACCAGGUUGUCGAGCGCGUCACAUCGAGACACGUCACGAGCAAAGUGAGUCCCGUCAAAAUACAACACCGGCGCGAUGGUUUCUUUUGAAACGUGGCAGCUAGGGAGUAUGGAAGCCAGCAGUUGGAAGUUCGGAGACGGGUUCCACAUCUAUUGGCGUAUUUAUCAGCGAGCCAAGUGGGACGCGCCCGGUGAACGUUUGAGGAUUGGGGCCCACUGGAUUCAAAUUUGGUAGCAGCAACCACAGGUUCGGUGCUGAAUGGAGAAGAGACGCCACCUUGCAAGCGAGCCCUGGGGCCCGCCCAUUCUUGGACUUUUCUGAUGGCAGGGGAGGAAUGCAAAGCUUUAUCUAUUUGGUAAAUGUAGGGUUGCAAUGCCAAGUUCUAGGCUGUCGAAUCAAGAUUUUAAAGAUUUAAAGCCAUGUAGCUACAUUCUCCUCUCAGAAGUAUCCUUCUUGACAAGUGCUAAGCCUCGAACAGACACUGCACAAAACUAACAGAACCACUGCCUAUUGCCUGUCGCCUCUUGGUGUCUUCACUAGAAUGGUGGCAUUCCCACAGAUCCAAAGAAAUAAUGAAAAAAAUAAAAAGAAAGAUUGUCCCGUGCUUAGGUUUUGUCUAGAAGGUGAAUAAAGGCAGGGUGGGAGGCUGAGCAUUCGCUAUUGCGCGAUAUCCAGCAAGUGCUGAGGGAGUGUUGUGCCUUUCAGACCGUGUACAUGCUUCAUGAGACGAACAGAGCUGCUGAUUGGGUUGCUUCUUUUGUUUCUACCAUUCAGGAGAAUUCAUCUGAACUGGGCAUGCUUCUGUUCCUCCACCGCCGUGUAGUCUACUUUCUAGUAAUUCAGCUGGCAGUGCUCAUGUGAGAUUAGUGUGAGCAGUCGAUGUACUAAUAAUAAUAAUAAUAAUAAUAAUAAUAACAAAUAGAGGAGGUAGAAUUUAGUAGGCUUAUGUAUACGAAAGAUAAUCCGCCAACAAUAAUUCUCUAGUAUGCAAAAGAUACUAUGAUCUUUCUCUAAAGACCAAGCUGCAUACCUUAUCCUCAAGGCCAUUUUCUGAAUUGAUGGUUAGUUUAUCCAUUAUUGUUUGGAUUUUGCACAUCACAUCUAAAAUUUUAUUGAGAUUACACAUAAUACCAGCCCUUAUCCCUAUUUACAAAUUGUAUCAAACAAUAUUAACUUAGCUUCGUCUGUUACCUUCGCGAUUCGCUGAUUAACCAUGGCUCUUGGUUGAGUGAAGUAGAGAUAGUAAUGCCCCUGGUUACUCUUAACCAGGGUCGAAUCCAUCCAUUUUCUAUCGUUAUCGGCUUGGUUCAUCUAAUCCUAAUCAUCUAUUUUCUAUCACCAUCAUCAUCAGCUCCUUUCAUUGCCUUACAAUCUUUCCCUUUCUUUAUAUCUCUUUGGCCAUGCAUGCAUCUCAUGCCCAACCGCUGAUGAGGGACAAUUAACUACGAUCUCAGUGGUGCUUGACCUCAAUGGCAGCGGCGACUUCCAGGUCCAUCACUGGAGAAGGGUGCACUCCGCAACAUCCUUGCCUCUUCCCCGGCCCUCAACCACUGCCGUCAGCAAUCUCCUUUCCCUGCCUCCCCGCCACCCUCGAUCGGCACCCUCGGCAUCGGCGAGAUUCAGGUCAGGAGCUACCUCCGAUGGCUCAUCGCCAUGCAUCCUCUCUGGAGUCCUCCCGCCGCAACAGUUGCAGCCUCCUCCGAUGGCUCAUCGCCAUGCAUGCUCUCUGGAGUCCUCCCGCCGCAACAGUUGCAGCCUCCUCCGAUGGCUCCUCGAUCGCCAUCUUCUCUUGCGGCCUUAGCUAUUGCGUCCACUCUGUCAGCCACUUCCUCCAAUCUAUCCAAAAAUCGCAUCGUUAAAUAUGAUGCCUACUGUAAUGGUGGCAUGAUUGUACCCAUCCCCUCCAUCGUCACUUUCCGCCGCUACUUAAGCUAGCACUGUCACCUACACUAGUCUCGGGCUUGGAUUGUAUGCCACCAACUUGAGGAGCGUAUGGUCCUUGUGAAGGAGAGCGUAGAAAAUGAGAGUAAAACCAAAGUCAUACUAGCUCAAAACCGCCAACCGGCGACCCCAAUGUGAAAGAAAAAAAAAAAAAACCUACACACAAAGAAUUCCAAUGAUGGAUAAGAGUAAACAAUGAAUUAAAAAUCUGUUGAAAACUUUUCUGGUCUCUUUUAACUCCAAAAAUCUGUUGAAAAUUUCUGGCUUAUACUUUACAAAAUAAACCCAUGUGAAUCUUGUAAGAUUAUCAACAAAAAUUAACGUGUAAUGAAAUCCAGAAUUAGAGGGAGUACUAGUUGGUCCCAUUAAGUCAGUAUGAACAUGUUUUAAUGGAGCCUUGCAUCUUGAGAGAGAUUCGUCAAAUGAAGACGAUGUGCCUUUCCAUAUUGAGAACCUUUAUAAAUUUCUCUAUUACCAAAACUAGUAAAAUUUGGAAGCUCUUUUACCAAGUUCUUUGACAUCAUAACUCUUAACUUAUUCAUGUUAAGAUGCCUAAGUCUAACAUGCCAUAUGAAUGCAUUAUCAUUGUUACUCAUCUCUCAAUACAAGAUGUAAAAGGAGACAAAACAAAUAAAUCAUCAACUCGCUUACUAGUUUGGAUGACAUCAGCCUUCAAUACUUUAAUAUUUUAGAGGAACUUCACAUCAUGUGGACCAAACAAUAUAUAGUUACCAAAAUCUACUGCAUUCACCACCAAAAAGAGGAUUUUUUUAAUACCUGAGAUACGAAACACACUAUUAAGUGUAAUAGAAUAUUUUUUUUGCUGAAACGGAUGUAUCAUACAUAGUGGGUACGAAUAUACCCGAAAUCAAAAGAUAACAACGGUGCCUUCCUUCUCGACAGAAUGGAUAGUAUUGUCUAUUGUUAUAAUAGCAUCUUUUCCUUCAUAGUGACGAAAACUUGAGAACUUUGAGUCAUCUCCAGUUAAAUGAUGGCCACAACUAGAAUCCAUGAUCCAAUCAUUUUCAAAAUUAAUUGAAGCCAUAGAAUCAACAGUGGAUGUCUUGGCCAUGAAGAACUUUCUCCAACCUUCUUGAUUUAGAAAUUAUCAUGCUUUAGAGUUUCAGCUACAUUGUUUCCUUUCAACUUGACACGACAAUUUUCUCUUAUGUGCUAAAGUUUGCCGCGCCGAUAAUACUUAAAGGUCUUCUUGUUAUCUUUAUUUGAAGGAUUUGAAGCAUCACUAUUCACGCUUAAAUUAUUCUUCUUCUCUUUUUCUAAAAAUUCUUCUUUGAAGAGCAAAGUGCUUUAUUGAAACACUAGCCAUUUGUUUUGCCAAGGAUUCAUGUGAGGACAAAAGAUUCUCAAACUAGUCCAAAGAUAGUUGUUGAGCCCAUCCUUGGAUUGAUAUAAUAUAAGGAAUAUAUUCCGAUUUUAGGCCAUGAACAAUAUGAUGCUUCAACCGUGCUUCAGAAAUUGGUUCCUCCGAAUCCAAAAGUUAAAUUUCUGAACACAUAUUUUUAAUUUUUAGAAAAAAUUGAGAAAUUGAGGGAUCACCUUACGUUGUAUUUGCCAACUCUUUCUCUAACAUUUGCAGUCGAGCCACAUUCUUUUCAUUGAACAAUUUUCCAAGGGUUUGCCAUAUUUCAAUUGCCGAAUUAUACUAUAUAAUAUGAUCAAACACACUAUGUGAAAUAAAUCGCUUCAAGACAAAUUCUGCCAUAGCAUUUUUCUGCUUCCAUCGCCUAAGAACUUCAGGAUUUUGUACAUUAUUUUUCGGAGCUGUUGUAUUAAUUCCACUCACAACAUCCCACAAGUCUUCACUAACAAGAUAAGACUCCGUACAUGUUCUCCAUACUCUAUAAUUGGACUAGUUUAGCAAUUCCACACCAAGUCCACUAAUAUAACCACUCAAAUCCAUCUUAGAGCACCACCUGAUUUUCUUUACUAAGAUCUUGUCACAUACCAACUACCACCCUUGUAGCUCUGAUACGAUGUAGGAAAAUGAAGUGCAACCAAAGUCACACUAGUCCAAAACUGCCAACCACAAUGUUGAGAAAAAAAGCAAGCCACACAUAAAGAACUCCAAAGAUGAAUAAGAGUAACUAAUUAAUUGAAGCAACUCAAUACAACGAUGGAGAACAAUCGAUUUGUGGUUUUGUUCCCUAAUAGUAUUUUAUAGACUUUAUGAAGGCUUCUAGUACAUGCAUUCAUAUUAAUUGUAUGUAAUUAAAACUAUAUAGAAAAAUGAACAGAAAUUGUAGGAAGAUGUAAAGAUGGAUAAGUACAUGAAUAUAUUAAUGAUCAUUGCAUGAAUCUAGAUUAAUAUGUAUCUAGACUAUUCCAAGAAAUCAGCUUUACUAAUUUCAACACAGAAUGCAGGGAAAGAAGAGGGGAGAUGGAAGGCGGAGCAGGUGAUGAGGAUAUCUUCGCUACUACUCCAUAGAGAUCCUAGACAAAUAGGUGGCAGUGACCACUAGGGCGGAAGGAGACGAUCUGCACCAAGUCUCGACCUCACUGAGGAUGAUGACAUUGGUCACCAGGAAUUAUCAUGUGUGGAUUAAGUGGUAUAAUGGCGACCCCCGGGGACAGGGGUUGUACCUUACUUAGGAAAGAAGGAUUCCCUUUCUUUCACUUGAAUCCACUGUUGAAUCAUGCAAUAUGACUUCGAGAUCUAUACAGAUGGAUGGAUGUGGGAGUUCUGAGUUCUUUGAGAUAUGUGCGGAAUAUGAUUUAACGGUCGACAUUGUGAAGAAAGAACAAUCAUUUUUUUGCAUGAAAGAUACAACUUAAACCCAUCCUUAGGAACUCCAUGCUCACCCUUGCGUAGACCCGGCCGGUCAUCCCCCCAACUUCAUCAACCCCUAUUGGGUGGUUCCAUUCCCGCCUCCAUCCCCGGUGGUUUGGGCUCUUGGGGAUGGGCGUCCAUGGUGAGGGUGAUGGUCCCACCAUGAAGAGAAGAAAAUUGUCUUCAAGGGUAAUUUGGUCUCUCAAAGGUCACUACUAAAGAUUUUAUUAAGGUUUGUUGAUGAAGCAUUAUUUAAAUUGAUUUGUAAAUAGGGAUAAAAGGAAGUAUCAUAUAUAACUUUGAUGAAAAUCUUGGAUGUGACAUGCAAAUAAAUUGUUGUCUCCGCAUGCUCCGAGGAAGCAUUAACUACUGUGCUUAGCUGCAAGCUGGACAACUUUCAAUCAAUUAUAAUUAAAUAUUUGAGACCGCUUUAUCAGGUUUCAGGUAGAUUGCUGAGUCCGAUCGGAGCUUUGUUUGUAGACUGAGGGAUAAGAGCCGCAUGGACGGUCCUUCAUCACGCUCGAUAUAUUUUACAGACCAGUUUCAUCGUUUUAGAGAAAGGCUCGGCCAUGGUCAUCAGUUAGAUCCGUGGAGGCCCAAAGAGUAAUAGUUGCGUCCACUCUUUGCUCUGAGAUAUCUGGACGAAGGAGCCUUUUAGGUCAAGCAUGUUUUCCGUAAAGCUAAUGAGGCUGCGGAUUGGGUAGCUGCUUAUAUAGCCAGUCAUUCCGAUAGUACCCUAUAGGCUGGUGAUGGGGAGUUGCCUCUGGCAUUUGAGGUAUUUCAUUUUUUGAUUUUAUUGGAUGCAUUCAUACUCGGCAGAUCCCGUCUUAGCCCAAAAAAAAAAAAAGAAGCAAGCGCGCAGUUAGGCGUGGCCCAAAGGAAGAAGGCAGCAUACAUCUGCUGAAUUUUAGAAGCUAUGAGUUUAGCUCUGCUUUUUUCUUCUUCUUUUUUUCCUUUUUUUAUUUUUUUAUUUUUUUUAUUUUUUGAGUUUAGCUCUGCUAUCAGUAUGGGCUUGGAGAUUUCUUUGCCCUGAAGAUGGUCUCUGGAGGAAACAAGUACGUUGGAUGCACCACCGAAAGGAGAAGAUAAAACCACUUGUAAAUAAGCGAUCAAAUCAGAGCAUGAAGUAUUUAUUCCAACAUGUGUUGCAUAGUGUCUGAUCUAUAAGUAGAACAUGAAAUCGAACUAAUUCAAUCUAAUUUCUUUAUGGUUUGCACAUUUAUAAUUAAACAUGGCAUGCAGUGUGAAUAUCGCAUAAUGCAUGUGUCACAUGCUAUUGAAUAUGACUAAUACAUGCAUGCAGUGUCAAUGACCGAUACUAGUAUCAUAUGCUACUGAAUAUGACUAACGCAUGUAUGUAUCAACGAUCGAUACAUUGUGGCAAUUUGUUUUCAAAAGAAGAAGUUCAUUCUUUUAUAUUCAUACAAUUGAAUACUUUGCCAUAAUAGGAGAUGUGGGUCACAAUGCAAUGUAGCACAAUGGAGUUAAUCGUGAUGAUACACGUGGAUGUAAGAGAAGAUGCAUGGCAUGUAGGAUCAAACACUUUGUUUGCUUUGAUUGGUCAUUAUGAAUUCAACCCUAUCAAUUGUUUGGUUGUCAAUACAAUGGCUUUAAGUUUUGUGCGAAAUAUGGAUAUUGUUUGGGUCGAAAAUAUAAAUGGUAUGCUUGAGCUGGUGCCAAAUAAUCUGUAAAGGGUUACAUUGCUUAAAAUUUAGGUAUAUAUGUGUGUAUGUAUGCAUCUAUGUAUAUAAUUUGGAGAGAGUUGGUUACCAUGCUUUCAUUUUAUCCUUUUGUCCCCAUUCUCGCCUAAAGAACCUAGGAAACAUCAUUGGGGAACCCAACAGAUCUAUAAAAUAGUCGUAAUGUGAACGUUGGUAGGUCAAGGUCUAUCCACAUCAAAGGAGAGAGAGUUGAAUACAAAAUAGAAGCUGAACGUGCCUUAUUGUUUCCUUUGGCCCACAAACAAAGUAAGUAGACUUCUCAAGGUUCCCUGCCUCUCAAUCCACCACUUGAAGGUAUGGAAACAAAACCGAACAAAUAGUUGGUGCCCGGAGGAUCAGAGUUGGUGGCUCAUUUCUUGUGGAAAAGAAAAUCACCAAUGAAAAGAAGAGGGCCGAGAAUCUUAGACCUAGUGCAACUUCUUAAUUUUAUUUUAGCACCUUAAAAAAUCACUUGGUUACUCGAAUGGAGUCAUGUUGACAUAGAAAGGGAAAUAGCAAAACAGAGGAAUUUUACUUCCUGAACUCAUUAGACUCCCGGACUUUUGACUAGCAUCACUCCUUAUACUUUAGGGCCCAAAAAUAUUCUGUUUACAUGACUCUGUUUGGGAAAUGUUAAUUAACCACAUGCUUCAUGUUUAGAUUUGUAUAGCAUAUAUUGUUGGUAAUCUAAGUCACAUUGAAUUAACAACUUAAAUACCGGGAUCUUUCUUCACUAGUCUAAAUCAAUCGAGAUUUUCUAUCGCUGUCAUUUUUCGCAAGCACAUUGUCUUGAGUUAGUUGAGUGAGGGAUGCUGAUGUUAGGAUAUUGCAGGCAGCAACUCAUUCAAAAGAAUAAAUAUUAUAUAUAAAGUAAGGAGCCAUUGUCAUAAGAGUAGAAUGUGGCUUUGUUUCUCCUCUCAGAAUUUUGAUUGGGAUAUCUUCUAGUGGUGACUAGCAGUUUAACUUACACCUUGGGCUCGUUUGGUUCGCGGGAAAAGAAGGGGGGAAAGUGUGGUCAACGGGAAAGUAAUGAAAUGCCUCUUGUUUGGUUGGAGUUUUCAAAGAANNNNNNNNNNNNNNNNNNNNGGCUCGAGGCAACCUAAACAACAGGGUAGGUUUACUUGACCAUGAUUAAGAAAAUGCAGCAUAUGAUUUGGCUAAGCAAUACUGGUGAAAGGUCAAUUUACUCUGGAGCUUCAAAUAAAAUUUUAUCAGCUAGUGCCCUUUGAUAUGGAUCAAACAGAUAACCAUAACUUUUGUGGACUUGAAGAUAAGAAAAUCAAACAGUGAUUCUAUAGAGGUUUAAGAGGAGUUACUAGAAAAGUACUUUUUUUUCUACUUUGUUCUGAAGCAAUACAAUUCCACCAGGAUAAGAAAUUAAUACUUUCAUUUAAAGGCAUGUUAAUAUUUACUAGAAGCAAGAGGGGUGGGCUGAGAACGCUCUCCCUCUCUCCGAAAAGAGUAAGAAAAAAGUGACAAAUCUUUGGGAGUUGUACUAUUAAAUUUGAGGCUUUCUAAAUUGUUGCGAUGCUCUUUGACUCUUGUGAUUAGCUCAUUAAUAGCAACCAUAUUAUUCGUCGCAAUUUUCUUUUGCUUCUGUUUUGAUUAAGUUCUAGCCAUGUAGCAUGUCCUCCUAUUUCCCCAAGUAUUCCUAAUGGUUGAGUUGCACCAAUUACAUUGACUUUGAAAAAAGGAAGGUGGUAUACUAUAAUAUGGGUAUUAGAUCGGUACCGAGAGCUAAUGAGGAGGUGACUAAUGUUCGCUAUUGUUUGGCUGUUGAUAACCACAUCUUCUUGAAGAGAUGACAGAGAUGCUUUUUGGCUUGAAAAAGCAUAGGUUAAGUGAUUAAGUUUCAAGUUUUGGAUUAUAUGGACCAAAAAAAGUGGCAAUAAUGAAAGGUAAAAAGCGAUGGGAGAAUGUAAAAAUAGAGAGAAAAAUGAGAGGUGGGAGGCUUAACGAACUGGUUAAAGCCUUUUCCCGUAAACCAGGUUAGCUGGGUCACUGCAUUAAAUGGUUAAGUUUACUAGCUAAAAAGUUGGGUCACUGCAUUAAAUGGAGUGGGCCGGCCCGAAUACCACAUGGAAGUAAAAAAAAAAAAGAAACCCUGCUUUGCUGACCAUCUCAAAACUAUUGCUGGUACUUAUGAAUAUAGUUUUAGCACAUCAUGUAAUUCUAUAAUUUUGCUAGCUAUAUUGGCCUAAUCCAUAAAUUCAAUAGAAUUUUUAGCCCAAUCAUCCAAAUAGGCUCUUAGAGUCUGUUUAAAAAAUCCAGCAGGAUUGGGCUGAAUUUUUCGUUAGAGCAUGCAUUACAUAGCUUAUUUAAAUAAAGCCCAUAUCAAUUCAAUCCCUCUCCAUCCUAAAUCUUAUGGAAAAGACCUUCUUAUCCUGCAGCCCAACAGACCCGUAGAUAUAAUUUAGGCCUAGACUAGGAUGGGCUAGAAAAAAAGGACAUGGCAGCCAACAGGCCUGAUUCCUAUAGAAAAUCUAGCCCAAUCCUGCCGGAAUUCGGAUACCGACCCUCUUGAAUUUCUUUGCAUGAUUAGGUUGAAAAUCCUGCAGAAUUUGUAACGAUUUUUUUUAUCUUACGGCAGCCCAUAUAUUAGGAUUUAGGCAGAUCAUUAGAAAAUACAAGUUAAAUGGGCCAAUAAGCUCCAUUUCUACAAGAUUUUCAACUUAAUCGCGUAGAGAAAUUCAGACAGGCCAAAAUUACAGUAGGAUUGGGCUCAAUUUUCUAUGAAAAUUGGGUCAUUUAGCUUGCUUAACUCUUUUUGUUAAAGAUCCAUCAUCGUCUUGGCUUAAAUCUCAUCCAUGAGCUAUAGAACUGCAGAAUAAAAAAAAAAACGCUAUGAAGAAUUUUUUUUUUCUUUGACAGGAUUUAAGCUAGAGAUUGAUUAAGUUGAUAUAGGCCUUAUUUAAAUAAACUGUGUAAUCCAAUGAGAAAUUCAACCCAACCCUGCUCAAUUUUCUAAGAAAGGGAUAGCAAUUUCGGUAAAUAGAAAGGAGCGCGCUUCCCCUGCAAUUUUGGCUACAGGAAGUUUGUUUUUUUUUUUUUGGCCGUAGGAAGUUUUAUUAUAAGAAAUUUCUUUAAUGAUGAUAAAUGGCCUGGCCAUGUGACUCGAGCCCUCAUUCAAUAGAACGGGAGGGUGUGUUUUAAAUAGAUAAAAAAUAUUAACUAAAUUUUCUUCAGACUAGUCAAAAUUUGCCACCUAUUCAAAGAUUUUUUUGGAAAAGUGAAAGAGACGAUCUAGGAUUUAAAUAUAAAAUCUCUGGUUGCCGAGGUGAGAGAAAUAUUAAGUAUCCAAAGUAUACCAAUUUGAGUACUUUAGUGCAGACUAGCUCUUUUCCUUCUCCGAUCCGAUUCAGCCCUCUGAGCUCUCCUUCCUCAGAGGAGAAAGAGCUUCUCCUUGUUUUUCGGCAUCAACCGUCUCAGGUAUAAAGACAAUCUCCUAUACAAAAUUUAACCUUUUUAAUCUUUGCCAAUGGAGGAGUAUUUACACAUUGUUAAGAGGAAAUUCUUUCGUUAUGGUCAAAAAAAGAAAUUAAAAGCAAUCUUGGCUCGUUACAUUACUCAUCAUAUUUGGUUGGCAAGAAAUGAACAUAUUUUUCAAGAUGCAAAAUAGAGUGCUAGAUUAGUUCUUUUAAAAGCUUUUGCUCAUACCGAGAAAUUUCUUCAAAUUGUUGUUGAGGGAUUUUUGAUAGUAGGAGCAAUCUGUGGCUCUCUUUUGGUAGCUUCUAUGUCUUCCCAAAUAAUAUAUUUUCACUUGGGAGCCACCAUCCCUUGCUUCCUCAAGAUCAAUUUUGAUGGCAGUACACUGGUGAGAAAUGAUUUGGGUGGAGCAGGGUUUAUUAUUCAAAGUGACGUGUUUUGCUAAUGGUGUUACGAUUUUUGAUACUAUAGUCCUGAUGGCAAAGUUGCGGGCAAUAUGAGAGAGACUAAGUUAUAUUGUAUAUAUAAUAUGAGCUUCAUACAUUUAUCUAGAAGGUGAUUCUCUAGCAGCUAUCAGAUGGCCUUCGAAUUUGCCUAACUUUGAGGAUAGGCUACACCCUCUUCUAUAAGAUUGUUAGAGAUUAUGAUCACUACUAUUUUUUAAGGUCUUGCACGCUUAUAGAGAAGCGGAUAGUAUUGCCGAUUGGAUGACAUUGUAUAUUGCGAAUCAUUCGGGAUAUACUCUUUAGGCAUUCUUAGCCAAAUUUUCUAUUCAGAUUUGUAAUAUUUUAUUUUCUAAUUUUCAUAAAUCUAUUAUUUAAAGUAAUUUAAUAAUUAGAAUGCAAAAAAAAAAAAAGGGUACCCCAAUGAUACCAAUUUUCUAUAUAACAUAAAAGGUCCACAGCCUACAAAAAGCUCGUCAUAUUGCAUGAGCACAUGAAUUAGUAUGAUUUGCAGGAGUUGGUUAUAGUUGGCUGUAUCGUGAAUUGCUGCUACUGUGCUAUGCGGAUCCAGAGUACUUUUCAGUGACUAAUUGGCGCCACUAGAAAAUAUAAGUUUUUAGAAAAAUUUCAACCAGUGGAUCAAAAGUAUCGCCAAAUAUGCAAUGUAACAAGCGUCAAAGGCAUCAUCGUCGAUUAGAAACAAAAGAAAAAAGAUAUUUCUACAAAUAGCAAAAAAGAGAGAGGAAAGAAUGGACUCAUGCAAAUCACAAAAUCAUAUUUUUGCAUAAUACACUCUCUCCUAAGUUUUCUUUUUUUUUUUUCCAGAAAAGGUUAUCAAAACUAGACUUGUGGAAACUGCAUUGAGAAUAAUAUGGUUUUUCUUUCAAUAAUAGCUACCAGUAUUCAUCUGUGCUUCAUUCCUUGUUCAACUCCUUAAUUUUACAUAAGUGUGAGGACCAACAUAGGGUGUAUUUAGUCCGCAUAUUGGUUAAUUUUACAUAAGUGUGAGGACCAACAUAGGGUGUAUUUAGUCCGCAUAUUGGUUAUGCAUUGAGUAGAUAUUGGAUACAUAUAUAACUAUAUAGGGCUAAAGAACCCAAAUAUUAUUUCUAGCUAGAUUUUUUAAAUAAAAUCCUAGAUUGUCCAUAGUCCAUAUGGAUUUGGGUACACUGUAACACGGGCCCUUUUGAUGUUAACCACAGGCUGACUAGCUAUGCACUGAGUAAAUCUUGGGUACAUAUUGGGAUAAGGAAACCAAAUAAUAUUUUCUGGUUAGUUUUUUUUGGGUGAAAUCCUAGAUUGUUACAUUAAGUAUUUGAAAAGAUAGUAGAUAGUUGGCAUGAGAGUCUCAUCUGCUACUUUAGUGCUUGUUGAUUAUCAUAUUAAUAUAGAGUUGCUAAAAAUUACUAAUAAGAAAAAAAAGGAAGUAGUGAGACUGCAUUACUUUCGAAAUGCGUGGACGUCGAUUAAAUCAGGAAACCGUAUGCCCCACGCCCGGAUGGCUCUGUGUGGAUAUGCUUUCUUUCCAUCAGACUGAGAUGGUGUUGGGGUGACGUAUUCACACGUGGAUGGCCGAGUAGGAUUUUUCACGGGUUGGGGAGGGCAUGCAAAAACUUGCGAUCCGCAUCGAACAUUCCUUGGUGGAAGGAGGGCCCAGUGGGGGUUGCUACGCGGGUGGGGUUCUGCCCCUCCCCCUCCUAUUUAUCACCCAAAAAAAAAGCUUUUUUUAUAUAAUUAAUUAUUUUUAAUAAUCGUUAUAUUAUUUGCGGUGCCUGUUUUUAAGACUCACGCAGCCACGCGGCCCACGCUGGAUGCACAUAAAAAGUAUGCGUACGAGACCCAUCUACAGAUCCGCGCUCCACUCUUAUGAUCUCUCCUCUUGGACCUGAUCCUCGAAUGGUCCAAUAACCGUCAGAUCUAGCAUUACUUAUUUAUCAGGGGUUCCGACAAUGUUUGUCAUUAUGGCGACAUCGAAGCAACAUCUUAGGCACCAUUCUUAACUGGAUAAGCCUUGCUGACCCAUCCGCCCGUCACCUCUCCCAGAAUUUCCACGACGAUACCCACAUGAUUCACUCCACGUGUCCGAUUCAAACAUCCGAUCUGCCCUCGCUGAAAAAGAUAUCCACUCGCGUUGCACCGACAGCGGAGCACCCCAAUCCCCUUCUCCCCAUUUCUUUCUCGCCUCAUCCUCGCUCCGCCUUGUGCCGGUAUACCGGUAUACCCUCUUGCCCCGCCGUCUUCCCGCCGUACAUUAUUAUGUCACUUCGGAAACGGAAGCGUGUUGGGAGCAGCGGACGCCUCUCCUCCUCCGACGGAACCCUAACGGAAGAGUCCUCCCCCUCCCAGCCGUCGCCCCCCCCUCCACCCCGCCUCCAGCCUUGGCGGCUUCAACGACCCGGCCACCGCCGACGUCCUCCUCCUCCUCCAGCCGGACGACCCCGAUUCCUUCCAGUCGCUCGAGCUCCACCUCCACUCCGCCGCGCUCCGCCGCUCCCGCUACUUCUCCGCCCUCCUCUCCGACCGAUGGCACCACCCCGACCCCGGCGGAGACGGGAUCCGGCAGCUUUUCCUCAAGAUCUCCCCUGCCGGCGACCUACGCUGCCCCCCAUUCGACGCCUACGUCGCCGUCCUCCGCCUCCUUCACACCCUCGACUUCGCCGGCGCGAUCCGCUCGGUAGCCGACGCCCUGGAGAUGCUUCCGGUGGCGCUGGAGCUCCUCUUCGAUGACUGUGUCCGGGCCUGUGUCCGGUUCCUCGAGGCCGUGCCGUGGACCGAGGAGGAGGAGGAGGGGAUCCUCAGCGUGAUCCCCUUCCUUCGCGAAGAAGAAUCCCGAGAUCUCCUUGCUAGGGUUUCUCCGAAGGCGGCCGCCGGAGACUGGAAUUGCACGUCGGAGGGGAUGCUCUGCGGCUUGAUCCAUUCGGCGAUCCAUGGCCAUCCGAACGUGGCCACCGUGAAGGCCUUCGUGGCGAAGCUACUGAGAGAUUACUCCUCUCGGGAUUCGGUGCGGAGGGUGCUGGACCAAGCCUUCUUGUUGGGCUUGGACACGGUGAAGGAGUUGCUAGGGAAGUAUGCGAGGCCGGAUUUCAGGAUGGCAGGGGAUAACGAUGAGAGGGAGGCGAUUCAGAGGCUUAAUCUGCACGCGACCAUGGUGAAUGUGAAGCACCUGCAUUGGCUGGUGGAGAGGAUGAUCGAGCUGAGGGUGGCUGACACAGCGGUGAAAGAGUGGAGUGAGCAGACUGCGCUUGCUGCUGACUUGCAGAAGACUUUCAGGGAUGAUGCAUGGAAGAACAUAGCUCCGGGACUGCCGACGCUCGUUGCAAGGUGCACUUGCCGGCUUGCCAAUUCAGUUGCUUCUGGGUCUACUUUGGCUCCUCGGCAGGUUUGAUCUUGGAAAUCCUUGUGACAUUACUUUAUGCUUUUAUUUUGAAGAAAGAUUAAUAAUGCAAAACAAGUCCAGUAGCAUAGGAGAGAUGAAAUUAGAUAUGGGAACUAUCAACCAAGGUUGGGAAUGAAUUUGAUAGAGACAAUAGUAUAGAGUUGGAAAAGAGAUGGGCGGGACUAUAGAGGCUUGAAUGAAUGAAGUGAAAUGUAAAUCUGAAGAAACUUUUUAUUUUGGGGACUUAGCUUUAGAUAAGGACUGAUGCUAGGAGCAAUCAAUAUAACCUACCAACCCCAAGCAGAUAGGGAAGGUUUCUUGCUUAUAUCAAUGUGAAAGAGAAAGAGUUAAUAUUUUUUUGUGUGUAAAAAUUGAUAUUCUUGCUGUUUGGACGUGAAUUAUGCAAUUCCAGUCAUUUUAUUUUGCCCCUUUAUUUUGAGAAGAUUGGUCAUCAUCAACUUAUUUUUUACCAUGGGUUUCUGCACUGUUUAUUGAAUUGUUGAAUAGAGGGCUAAGCUACUUUUACUAUAUCAUGGUAUCAUAAUUUAACAAAUAAAAUUAUCAAUAAGAAAUAAACAUGUUAUAGUACUUGGGAAUAUACUGAAUUUACUGUUCCUUCUCUCGGGUAUUCUUGUGACUAUUUGGAGAUAAUGGUAUAUAAAACUUAAUGUAAGAUAUUAGUGCACCAUCAAAUGCAUUCGUCCUAUUGACUGGGUAAAAUCCCUGCUAAUUAUACUAUAAGAUAGUUAUCUUCCAACACAAUGACAGGAGCCAACAUGAAUUCUAAAAGCUGCUCUAACAAUAUAUGGAAAAGGGACAUGGUAAUAGCAGAGGCUAGGAUUAAUCUUUUAAUAAAGCUUUCUUUAACAUUGUUCUUGCUGUAGCUUAAAAACAUUUUAUGUUAAAUGGUGAGACGAGGACACCAAAUGGGUAGUAAAUGAAAGGAACUAUGAGAUUCUUGUUUUAUAAUGUGGUUCUGUAAAGUUAACAACACAGAGGAAAGACAAAAUGUUGUUCAGCAAUCCCCAGUUUUGGGGGCUGGGGGCAGUCAAUAGACAGCCCUACUUAAGACUUUUUCUUAAUGAGGGACGAAAAGAGAGGGGCUGUAAGGGUAAAGAAAACUGCAAUUAAAAGGAUAAACCUUUCCUUUUUUAACUCAAAAGUGAAAUGCUGUUGACUCAAAUUGCACAGUUGGAGCUUCGUGGAGCUUUGUUCUUAAAACCAACACCAAUCCUUGUGACUUCAUUGGCUCUCAUACAAUUACACUAAAGUUACUUAGAAAUUAGUCUUAUUUAAACACAAUCAUCUAGAGUCCUACUUUCCUAAUCAUAAGUGUGAUCUCAGAUGACUUGGGAUUAUGCAAGUCAAAAACUUCAUUUGUUUAUUACUUGCUACGAGUUAACCAGCCAGGAUAGGUUGCUUUUAUUUAUCUUCUUCCUUAUUGUCUUUUCUAACAAGCCGUAAUUUGAGUAGUGCUUCUAAUUUAUGUCUACCAAGAGUUUUUUGUUUUCAAAGUAAAGGGCUAAUGCAUUGCUUCUUAGUUACAAAAGGUGCCCCCCAUUAUGUGGAUGAUGUUGAUAAAUCCAUAGAAAAGUUAUUUUUCUCAAAGACCUCAGUAGAGGCUUACAAAAAUGUCCUAUAGAAAUUUUACAGACACCCUAAAGACAAGCUAAAUCUAGACCGACUGCCAACUAUAGUACUCUUCUGGCACUGAUCUUAGUGUAUUUAGUGGGAAAACUGUAGAUCUACUAAGAAAUUCUGUGUCACACAACAAGAUGAUCUAGUUACCAUUUUCCCAUCUUGGCUGUGGAUAAUUCACCAUGACAUUGUUGGUUUGAUACAAUUUAGGGGCCUAUAUUGAUUUUUUUCCCCAGCAGGUAGGAAAUUUGAUGAUGCUGACCCAUGAACAAUAACAAGUUUGCUAAUGUAGAACUUUUAGAUUUUAGAUCUUGCAUGUUUUAAUUUAUCGACAAAUAUCUUACAGUUUCAUCACAUGCACAUGUCCUUUCUAACUUCAACAUCUUUUAUUUGAACCAAAGUAAGUUUGAGCAGUUGCAUUUGUUGCAUCCUCCAUGUCAUCUUUGAAAAAGUAUCUUGAGCAUCUUUGGUGAAGUUACCAUCUUCCAUUGGACUAAAACACUCUGAAUUUCAUACCAAGAGUUCUAAUUUUCCGCAAAAGCUUAAACCACAUGACU
rnacentral:lncRNA from 1 species